rnacentral:rRNA from 1 species
AUUGAACGCUGGCGGCAGGCCUAACACAUGCAAGUCGCGCGGAGCUGCAGACGGGUGAGUAAUGCCUAGGAAUCUGCCUGGCUGCGGGGUAUAACGUCCGGAAACGGGCGCUAAUAUUGCACACUCUCAGCUGAGCCUAGGUCGGAUUAGCUAGUUGGUGUGGUAAAGGCCUACCAAGGCGACGAUCCGUAACUGGUCAGAGAGGAUGAUCAGUCACACUGGAAGUGAGACACGGUCCAGAUGCCUACGGGAGGCAGCAGUGGGGAAUAGUGGACAAUGGGCGCAAGUCUGGUACAGCCAUGCGGAGGGUGUGAAGAAGGUCUCCGGAUUGUAAAGCACGUUGGGUUGGGAGGCGUUACCAACAGAAUAAGCACCGGCUAACUUCGUGCCAGCAGCCGCGGUAAUAC